rnacentral:rRNA from 1 species
CACGUAGGGUGCGAGCGUUGUCCGGAAUUAUUGGGCGUAAAGAGCUCGUAGGCGGUGUGUCGCGUCGGCCGUGAAAACCUGCAGCUUAACUGUGGGCUUGCGGUCGAUACGGGCAUCACUGGAGUUCGGCAGGGGAGACUGGAAUUCCUGGUGUAGCGGUGAAAUGCGCAGAUAUCAGGAGGAACACCGGUGGCGAAGGCGGGUCUCUGGGCCGAUACUGACGCUGAGGAGCGAAAGCCAGGGGAGCAAACGGG